CGCCAGCGUCUCAAGACGCCGUUAAAUCUCAACAAGACGGGAAAAGAUGCCGCAGUGGAUGAACCGAGAGGAGCCACGCCGCGCGCCCUGCCGCCGGACUCACUAGCGCCAGACUCGGCGCGCGCAGCAGACCCAGCUGCCCUGCUUCCCUCCGAUAGACAGGCUCCUACACACUCAUCCAAGGCAAACACGACCAUUUUCACGACCAUCUGGAGUUCAUCAGAGCCUGACGAGCAGAGGAUGCAGAAGCUCGGCCACAUAAGAAACUGUGGAAGGCUAUGAGCAUCCACUUCCUGGCGGGGGCUAGCAGGUAAACACAAGGAGGAGCAGAGUUUCAUGGACUGCUGAGAAGAAAUCAAGAAGCAGCCACGCUGGCUCACCCAGACGAUGCCACAUUACAGGAUGGUUUUGAAGUGAGGCAGACUGGGUAGAAGGCUUU